rnacentral:rRNA from 1 species
UACGUAGGGGACGAGCGUUGUCCGGAUUUACUGGGCGUAAAGGGAGCGUAGGCGGACUUUUAAGUGAGAUGUGAAAUACCCGGGCUCAACUUGGGUGCUGCAUUUCAAACUGGAAGUCUAGAGUGCAGGAGAGGAGAAUGGAAUUCCUAGUGUAGCGGUGAAAUGCGUAGAGAUUAGGAAGAACACCAGUGGCGAAGGCGAUUCUCUGGACUGUAACUGACGCUGAGGCUCGAAAGCGUGGGGAGCAAACAGGAUUAGAUACCCUGGUA